UAUAGUUCGAGUCUAUUUUAAUCUCUGUAG
rnacentral:piRNA from 1 species